AAUAAUUCAAAUUGUAAAUCAUUUGUAAAUAUACUUUUUAAUAUUUUUAUUUCAUUAUAAUACAAUGCAAGAGUAAUAGGUUGGUCUUUAAUAUCUCCAAGACCAAGAUUUUAUCAUUUAAGAGAUCCAUUGCAGACAUAACCUGAAAAAUUUUCAACUGGAUAAUAAAGAUAGUUAUAAGUUUUUGGGGGUAUUUAUUUGUAUGAUACUAGAUUGAAGUUUGAGGAACAUAUUCAGAAUGUAUCUGGCUUCUGCUUGCUAUGCUAUAGUAACCAGAAUUAACUUAGGCCAGGUUAUAGCAAAAGGGAUAUAUUUUGCCCUGAUCGAAUCACACUUGAGAUAUGGCAUUCAAUUCUGAGGGUUUAUAAACAGUAAACUUGUUGAAUCUAUCUUUAUUUUCCAGAAGAGAGCUUUGCAAUAUUUGUAUAAGGUUGGGCAUAGGGAGCAUUGUAGGCCUCUGUUUAUUCAGGAGAAGAUCCUUACUGUUACCUGCAUUUUUAUUCUUAUGACAGUGGAUAUGAUCCACGAAAAAUAUAAACUCACUUUUGAUAAUGCAGCAAGAGUAACAAGAUUUAACAGUAAUAAUUUGGGAUUGCACAUUCCAAGAACUGCCUUAACAAAAAAUUCCAUUGUAUGUGAAGGAAGAAAAAGGUUUAACCACUUGCCUUUGGAAGUCAAAAGCUUAGAGAGAGAUGUCUCGAAGUCGAAAAAUGGUUAAAAUGGCGCAAGAACAAGUAGUAAUUGUACCAGAAUCACCAAAUAAUAAGACUUUAGAUGAUACAAGAACCAAUAUUAUCAUAUUUAAUGUAGCUUUGCAACAUGACAUUCUCUUUGGGGAACAAGGAGAAGGUCCUGUAAAUAUUGUUAACUAUAUCUUAGGUGACCAAGAUAUUUCUUUUACUUCGUUCAAUGUAUUUCCGAUAAGACUGAAAAAUGUGAGACUGAUGUUUUACUUGAAACUGACGAAACUGUGACUUAAACUUGUAGUAGUGUAAGAUCACGUUUAGUAGACUAUUCGGACUCAAACGAUGAAGUUGCGUUGUAUCCAGAGCAAUUUAGUGACAAAAUACCGGAAGAUGAAAAUAAUCAAGAAAAAAAAAGGAUGCAGGAGGACCAUCAACCGAAAACAACAGUCCUUGUGACUCUGACGUAUUAUCUUCUACUAGCAUGUCUUUUUCUGAUGACAGUAACCAAUCUAGUGCCGAAUCUACCUCUAGCAGCAAUUAUUUAAAAGGAAGGAAGAAAAAAAAGGCAGAAAGUAAGUGCCUUGGAAACAAAAGACUGCGAAAUUUAGGCGCGCCUCAAGUAAUAGGUUGUAUCUUUCAAGCGAAAUUAGAAAUGUACAAAUCUGUUUAGAAUGUACGAAUCGGUAGUAAAGAGUCAUGGAAAUAAACCGAUUAAACUCUCAGCGUAUAGAAAAAUUUUUAAAGAAAAAUAUAAUAUUGGAAUACACAGACCUAAAAAAGAUAAGUGUCUGAAAUGUGAAAAAUACAAGAAUAUUCCAGAUGUUGAAAAAACUGAUUCCGUAAAAGAUGACUACUUAAAACACACCAAAGAAAAAGAUGAAGCAAAACGGAUUUUUCUUGCAGAGCAGGAAAAAUGUUCGAAAGACGGGUUUCUUGUCGUGUCGUUUGACCUACAAAAAGUUCUUUCUACACCACAUGGCCCAAGUAUGAUUUUCGGUUUUUCAAGGAAGUAUGCCGUUUACAAUUUUACAGUUUAUGAAAGUAAAUCAAAAGACGGAAUAUGUUAUCUAUGGGGCGAAAAGGACGGAAAGCGCGGUCUUAAUGAGAUUUGCACUAAUUUAUACACCUACUUACUUCAAGUUGAUCGAGGUGGUAAGUUUUAAUCACGGGCAUACCUAUAUGCCAGUAGAUAGUGUUCACGUCAUUAUUGAAAAAUAUACUGCAUCCAUGAACAUUCAAGCACCCUCAGAAUGGCCUACUGUCAUUAGGAAUGCUAGAAAGCGGCCUAAGCCAUAUGAGGUAGUUCAAAUGAAUUUUUCUGACUUUUUGGAUUGGAAAGCAGUAACUUCUUUAAAAAAGAUUAAGGCAACAGAUGGUACCGAAAUUAAAAUAACAGAUAUAAAAAAGGCAAAGCUUUCCAAAUUAGAUUUAACUUGCAUUGAGAUUUCCACAAGAUAUGAUUUAGAAUCACAAUUUUAUAAAGUUGAUUGGAGUUGUCGAAAAUUACCUUGCCGCGCGUAUACAAAUGAAUUACCAAUUAAUAAAUCAAAAUAUCAAGGUCUGACAAAUUUAUGUAAAAAAUUGUCUAUUAAAAAGCAUUAUCAUUCCAAAUACUUUUCCCUUACUUGUAAUAACAAAGUACCUGAUGUGCUACCUGAAACGGAUAUGGAAGAUAACAGCAAAGAUUAAUAGCUUAUUCAGAUUUACAUACUUUUUCUAUUUCGCUUUUUUUAAGUUUAGUUUCCAAAGAAUGUUUUGUUUUUUUUAUAUAAAAUAUUUUUUUAUGAAAAAAUAAUAAUUUUUUAAUGUUUUGCUAUUUUCUAUUUAGAUAUUUUACUUCCUUUUAGAAAGAAUUUGAUUUUAUUUUUGUUUUUUAAAUGUUUAUGUUACUUAUUUGUAAUUUUUUUUUAAUAUUUUUAAUAAAAACGAUUGUUUA